AGCGAACGCUGGCGGCAGGCUUAACACAUGCAAGUCGAGCGGGCGUAGCAAUACGUCAGCGGCAGACGGGUGAGUAACGCGUGGGAACAUACCUUUUGGUUCGGAACAACACAGGGAAACUUGUGCUAAUACCGGAUAAGCCCUUACGGGGAAAGAUUUAUCGCCGAAAGAUUGGCCCGCGUCUGAUUAGCUAGUUGGUGAGGUAACGGCUCACCAAGGCGACGAUCAGUAGCUGGUCNGAGAGGAUGAUCAGCCACAUUGGGACUGAGACACGGCCCAAACUCCUACGGGAGGCAGCAGUGGGGAAUAUUGGACAAUGGGCGCAAGCCUGAUCCAGCCAUGCCGCGUGAGUGAUGAAGGCCCUAGGGUUGUAAAGCUCUUUUGUGCGGGAAGAUAAUGACGGUACCGCAAGAAUAAGCCCCCGGCUAACCUCGUGCCAGCAGCCGCUGU
rnacentral:rRNA from 1 species